rnacentral:rRNA from 1 species
UACGUAGGGUGCGAGCGUUGUCCGGAAUUAUUGGGCGUAAAGGGCUCGUAGGCGGUUUGUCGCGUCGGGAGUGAAAACCCAGGGCUUAACCCUGGGCUGGCUUCCGAUACGGGCAGACUAGAGGUAUGCAGGGGAGAACGGAAUUCCUGGUGUAGCGGUGAAAUGCGUAGAUAUCGGGAGGAACACCGGCGGCGAAGGCGGCCCUCUGGACGGUGACUGACGCUGAGACGCGAAAGCGUGGGGAGCAAACAGG